rnacentral:tRNA from 1 species
CUUUGUAGCUCAGUCGGUAGAGCAGAGGACUGAAAAUCCUCGUGUCGGUGGUUCGAUUCCGCCCAAA